rnacentral:rRNA from 1 species
AGUGAACGCUGGCGGUAGGCCUAACACAUGCAAGUCGAACGGCAGCACAGUAAGAGCUUGCUCUUACGGGUGGCGAGUGGCGGACGGGUGCGGAAUACAUCGGAAUCUACUUUUUCGUGGGGGCUAACGUAGGGAAACUUACGCUAAUACCGCAUACGACCUACGGGUGAAAGCAGGGGAUCUUCGGACCUUGCGCGAUUGAAUGAGCCGAUGUCGGAUUAGCUAGUUGGCGGGGUAAAGGCCCACCAAGGCGACGAUCCGUAGCUGGUCUGAGAGGAUGAUCAGCCACACUGGAACUGAGACACGGUCCAGACUCCUACGGGAGGCAGCAGUGGGGAAUAUUGGACAAUGGGCGCAAGCCUGAUCCAGCCAUACCGCGUGGGUGAAGAAGGCCUUCGGGUUGUAAAGCCCUUUUGUUGGGAAAGAAAAGCAGCAGGUUAAUACCCCGCUGUUCUGACGGUACCCAAAGAAUAAGCACCGGCUAACUUCGUG